rnacentral:rRNA from 1 species
UAGGGAAUAUUGGGCAAUGGAUGCAAGUCUGACCCAGCCAUGCCGCGUGCCGGACGAAGGCCCUCAGGGUUGUAAACGGCUUUUAUUCGGGAAGAAGAGCAGGGAUGCGUCCUUGUGUGACGGUACCGAAUGAAUAAGCACCGGCUAACUCCGUGCCAGCAGCCGCGGUAAUACGGAGGGUGCAAGCGUUGUCCGGAUUUAUUGGGUUUAAAGGGUGCGUAGGUGGCUUAUUAAGUCAGUGGUGAAAUACAUACGCUUAACGUAUGAGGUGCCAUUGAUACUGAUAAGCUUGAAAUAAUUGGAGGCUGCCGGAAUGGAUGGUGUAGCGGUGAAAUGCAUAGAUAUCAUCCAGAACACCGAUUGCGAAGGCAGGUGGCUACGAUUUAUUUGACACUGAGGCACGAAAGCAUGGGGAGCAAACA